rnacentral:lncRNA from 1 species
GUGUGGCGUCUUUCUGAACUCCCCCGACCAUCCGAGCUUCCACAGUACCAUCCGGACUCCUCCAGCAGUUGACCUUCCACAGUGUCCUCCAGAUUCCUCCAACGGACGAACUCCUAUUGUACCCUCUGGACUCUCCAAUAAUGAGCUCCUUCAGUCAUCUAUCGGACUGCUCCAAAUGCUCUCUGGGCUUUACUAUCAGCCGAUUUUCUACAGUGAUCGACUACUCUCCGAAUCUCUUCCAGACUUCCUCCUGUCACGAUCGACUUUACUCUGAGCUUCUUCUAGACUUCGUCAAUGUCUGGGC